rnacentral:rRNA from 1 species
CGCGUGUACUGGUCCGGCCGGGCCUUUCCUUCUGGAGAGCCCCAUGCCCUUCACUGGGCGUGCGGGGGAACCAGGACUUUUACUUUGAAAAAAUUAGAGUGUUCAAAGCAGGCCUUUGCUCGAAUACGUUAGCAUGGAAUAAUAGAAUAGGACGUGCGGUCCUAUUUUGUUGGUUUCUAGGACCGCCGUAAUGAUUAAUAGGGAUAGUCGGGGGCAUCAGUAUUCAAUUGUCAGAGGUGAAAUUCUUGGAUUUAUUGAAGACUAACUACUGCGAAAGCAUUUGCCAAGGAUGUUUUCAUUAAUCAGUGAACGAAAGUUAGGGGAUCGAAGACGAUCGGAUACCGUCGUAGUCUUAACCGUAAACUAUGCCGACUAGGGAUCGGGCGAUGUUUCUAUCUUGACUCGCUCGGCACCUUACGAGAAAUCAAAGUUUUUGGGUUCUGGGGGGAGUAUGGUCGCAAGGCUGAAACUUAAAGAAAUUGACGGAAGGGCACCACCAGGCGUGGAGCCUGCGGCUUAGUUUGACUCAACACGGGGAAACUCACCAGGUCCAGAUGAAAUAAGGAUUGACAGAUUGAGAGCUCUUUCUUGAUUUUUCAGGUGGUGGUGCAUGGCCGUUCUUAGUUGGUGGAGUGAUUUGUCUGCUUAAUUGCGAUAACGAACGAGACCUUAACCUGCUAAAUAGCCAGGCUAGCUUUGGCUGGUCGCCGGCUUCUUAGAGGGACUAUCGG